UGAGGAGUGCCCUUGGGAUCAACGCCUGUGAGGGUGAAGGAAGCAAGAUUGGGCAGAAGUUGGCGGCGGACCCUGAUACAGUCACAACAAAGUCCAUUCACAGGGUGCUCUGAAACCGGAAAUAAUCUCUCUACUCACCAGAUCUCCACGCAGAAAUCUCAGAGUCUACGACCUCUCCCUCCCCAUUAGCCAGGCACUAGCCAUGGAAAGGAGAAAAGUGUGACUCAGUCCUUGAUCCCGUGGGAAGAGACAGCAUCUAUUCAUCAAAGGACAAAUAAAAAUGAAGUGAUCUUGAGCUGAGUGUCAGAGAAACAAGAGAGAUCACACACCAUUGGCAUAUGCAGUGUCUUUGAGAGCAGAAAAGCAAGAAGGCUGAGCUCCAUCUUCUAAGUCUCUUCAGUGGGAUGAAAACAUGAGGUCGGAACUGUCAAGAGGAGCAAGCAGAAUUCCUCCACGGCAUCAGGCAGAGAUUUGUGGGAAGAGUGUUUUUUGUAUUGUUCAAAGGCUUCAUCUUGUGGUUCCUCUGUAAGGCAAAAAGGAGUGAGGAGCUGGAUAAAGCCUGUGGCCAAAAUGAAGCAUCAUUUCCUACUUGGGCUAGAUAUAUUUGCUUUGAGUCAAAAGAAUUUUUGAUCAACACAAAAUUUAAGCAAUGUGAUCCUCGAGAUCAAGUUCAGAGUAAAAAUGGUAGAAGGCAGAAGAGACAAGGAGAAAAAAAUAUUUCAAAGCAGACGCUUUGCCCAGACCUGGUUUAAACUCGGGUUCCAGCCACAAACCACAAUCUCUUCUGCAUCUCAGAUCUCCCAAGACAGAAAUUUGGGAAGACCGUUUAAAACUAAAACUCUCAAAGACGCUUUUUCUGUCAGUUAUUCAUCAUUUUCUAUAAGUUCAUUGUAAAAUGUUGUUCAGUCUUUAUAUCCAACCCACAUAGCCUAUUAAGUAUAGGAGAAUCGAGAAAAUCAAAGCCUGAGCAGAAUAUGUACACUUAACAGACACAGUUUAGUCUCUUAAACACUGAAUUUUAAGAAAGGCAAAAGACACUGACUCAUAUUCCACUAAGGAUGACCCACACUAAACAUUUUUGGGAUACGAUCUGCAUGUAAUCUGUGCUAUUUCAUUAAUUCAUUAACUCUGAUGUUGUUUAGAAGUAGAUAUCUUCUGGUUGCCAGAGCCGCAGAUUUAUCUCUGUUAAAUAUGAAACACACUCUGAGAUAACAAGCCAGCAAAUUAUUCAGCUCUCCUUUUGCCAUCUCUUUUCUGAAUACAGUUAACUCCACUGAAGACCCUCAGUGAAAGAAUAUAAGGUUAAUAAUCAAUCAAGCUCCUGCUAUCAUAGCUUAAGAUGAAGAAGCCACAAAUGAAAUGUAUUCAUUUAGACAUUCAGGAUGCACUGCCUAAAUGUAUUAUUUUUUAUUAGGUUUAAUGUAUUUUUAUAGGGU
ensembl:lncRNA